rnacentral:rRNA from 1 species
UAAAAGUCAUAACAAGGUUUCCGUAGGUGAACCUGCGGAAGGAUCAUUAAUAAUGCUCUCUGGCUUCGGUCAGUUGAGUUCAAUGAGUGCCUUCUCUUCGGAGUUGGCCAUCCAUACACACCGUGAACUGUGGCUUCGGCCAUCACAAACUGUUAGUAAUGAAUGUAAUAUCAUAACAAAAACAAAACUUUUAACAACGGAUCUCUUGGCUCUCGCAUCGAUGAAGAACGCAGCGAAAUGCGAUAAGUAAUGUGAAUUGCAGAAUUCAGUGAAUCAUCGAAUCUUUGAACGCACCUUGCGCCCUUUGGUAUUCCGAAGGGCAUGCCUGUUUGAGUGUCAUGAAACCUCACCCCACUUGGGUUUUUGCCUGAGCGGUGGUGUAUUGGGUGUUGCCUUGCCAAAGGCUCGCCUUAAAAACAUAAGCACCUUGGAUGUAAUACGUUUCAUCCUUCUGGGUGGCUGAUAACCCCACAUAUUCAUGAUCUGGCCUCAAAUCAGGUAGGGCUACCCGCUGAACUUAAGCAUAUCAAUAAGCGGAGGAAAAGAAACUAACUAGGAUUCCCUUAGUAACGGCGAGUGAACCGGGAUGAGCUCAAAUUUGAAAUCUGGCGUCUUUCAGGCGUCCGAGUUGUAAUCUAUAGAGGCGUUUUCCGCGCUGG